GACGGGGGGGGCAAGUGUUCUUCGGAAUGACGGGGCGGAAAGGGCACGUAGGCGGUGAAUCGGGUUGAAAGUGAAAGUCGCCAAAAAGUGGCGGAAUGCUCUCGAAACCAAUUCACUUGAGUGAGACAGAGGAGAGUGGAAUUUCGUGUGUAGGGGUGAAAUCCGUAGAUCUACGAAGGAACGCCAAAAGCGAAGGCAGCUCUCUGGGUCCCUACCGACGCUGGGGUGCGAAAGCAUGGGGAGCGAACAGG
rnacentral:rRNA from 1 species